GUCUAUGGCCAUACCACCCUGAACACGCCCAAUCUCAUCUGAUCUCAGAAGCUAAGCAUGGUAGGGCCUGGUUAGGACUUGGAUGGGAGAAUAAGACAGUAAAUAGGGAUGCAAGGGUG
rnacentral:rRNA from 1 species